rnacentral:lncRNA from 1 species
UUGCAGAUCAGAGCGGGUGUGCGUGCAAGGGCAUGCAGGAGUGGGCUCUCUUGCCACUGCAGAGAGGGGUGCCUCCUCCCAGGAAUGGGCGGUGCCAGCCACCAGAGAAUUUCCAUCUGGGAAUGUCCCCAAAGGUACCCCGGUCUCAGGCCUUGUCUGUGUCAAGACCUGCACCUAGAGCUUCACGGGGCUCCAGUGGCAAACUUCCUUGGAGGAAUCGUUUCUGCCUCUUCUGCUCCCUUAUCCACGCAGCACUCCAGCUGGGCAUUUGUUCCCGACACGCCAGUGAAACUGCUCUCAUCUCAGUCCCCAGUGACCUCUACACGGCCAAAUGCAAUAAUGAAAGCUGCAUGGUGGCAGGAACUCGGUCCCCGGCUGCAAGCACAGAGCCCGCCACACGGUUGCCAGGCUGCCCUGGAAGGUUGUAAAGGUUGUUCACUGCAUCAGAGCUCUUGGCUGAGGGGCUGGCAGGUACUCAUAUUUAGCUUGCCCCUUGCUGUCCAUGCUGCAGGGGCAUUUAGCAAGUUGCCUUCUGCUAUUUUCCAGUGUGUGCUGUAUGGGCUGGCUGUGGCUCUGUGGUGGGCAUGUGAUAAAUAG